CUGAUUUUCCCCUUUACCUUGUCUUCUUCUUCCUCUCAAAGCUUCAUCAUUAUCUUCUUAGUGGCUAGAGCAAAGGAAGCACCUUUAAUGUCUACAUGCCGUAGUCCAAAUUGUGAAGUGAGAGAAGUUGGAGAAAGCUUCAAGGGCAAGAGAAAGAAGAUGUUGGUGCUUGGGUAACCCUUGUGGACGUUUUCCAUCAGCUGUAGUAAGUUUCUUAGGUUCCAGUUCAAGGAGCUUAUCACCAGAUUGUAGAUUCUAGAUUUCAUCGAGCUUCAAAUUAUGUCUUGGUUAUUUUAGUGGGCAUGUAUUUCUAGACCUUAUGUGUAAUUGAGUCGUAACUCUUUUGGUAAACUCUAAUAUUUUAUUUGGAGAUAUUAU